rnacentral:ncRNA from 1 species
AUCUUCGGGGCAGGGUGAGAUUCCCGAUCGGCGGUAAAGUCCGCGAGCGCGCGAGCGUAUGAUCCGGUUGGAUUCCGGAACCGACAGUUAAAGUCUGGAUGAAAGAAGAG